rfam:Callipepla squamata strain Texas jcf7180005233695, whole genome shotgun sequence.
UGGGGUGUGAUGACAGCUGAGACGCGUUGAGCUCGCUGUGAUGCCGCUGUAUUCGUACUGUCUGACCCCA